rnacentral:rRNA from 1 species
AAACCUGCGAAACUCGAAUGAACGAACGGAGAGAUUCAUCGACAUCCGGCGGCGUGCGGGCGCGCGCCUCGAUGUCGCGCCUCCCCCUCGCGGGUGUUGUGGCGCGGCACGGGUCGCGUCCGUCUCGGACCGUCGGCGUUGUGCACUUCUCUCUCAGUAAUGCAUCGCGACCCGUUCGACGUCGGCUUAAGCGCCGUCCGAUUUGCCCAGCGGUAGGCGACUACCGCUGGACCGUGACGGUGGCCGGCCGGCUGUCGGACGGUAUCAGUACGAAUCGCGCACGCGCCUUGUGCGCGUCUGGCCCGACGCAAGCUCGCGCCGUAUCACGUGCUGUCCUGCCCAAGUGCGGACAGCGACGCGGCGCCGCUGUUGUCGCAGCCGUGAUGUCUCGGACCGUGCGCGUCUCAGUCUGCGAUGAGUCAUUUUCGGGCACUCGCAGGAC